GAUGAACGCUGGCGGCGUGCCUAAUACAUGCAAGUCGAGCGAACAGACGAGGAGCUUGCUCCUCUGACGUUAGCGGCGGACGGGUGAGUAACACGUGGAUAACCUACCUAUAAGACUGGGAUAACUUCGGGAAACCGGAGCUAAUACCGGAUAAUAUAUUGAACCGCAUGGUUCAAUAGUGAAAGACGGUUUUGCUGUCACUUAUAGAUGGAUCCGCGCCGCAUUAGCUAGUUGGUAAGGUAACGGCUUACCAAGGCAACGAUGCGUAGCCGACCUGAGAGGGUGAUCGGCCACACUGGAACUGAGACACGGUCCAGACUCCUACGGGAGGCAGCAGUAGGGAAUCUUCCGCAAUGGGCGAAAGCUUGACGGAGCAACGCCGCGUGAGUGAUGAAGGUCUUCGGAUCGUAAAACUCUGUUAUUAGGGAAGAACAAAUGUGUAAGUAACUAUGCACGUCUUGACGGUACCUAAUCAGAAAGCCAAGGCUAACUACGUG
rnacentral:rRNA from 1 species